GACGAACGCUGGCGGCGUGCUUAACACAUGCAAGUCGAACGGACAGGCCCUGCUCUUGCGGGGUGCUCGUGUGGCGCAAGGGUGAGUAUCACGUGAGUAACAUGCCCUUGACUUUCGGAUAUCUUCUGGAAACUGGGGAUAAUACCGCAUAGGAGCUCCUGCUGCAUGGUGGGGGUUGGAAAGUGUCGGCGGUUGGGGCUGGACUCGCGGCUUAUCAGCUUGAUGGUGGGGUAGUGGAGUACACAGGCUUUGAAGGGUAGCCAGCCUGAGAGGGUGACCGGCCACAGUGGGACUGGGAUACGGCCCAGACGCCUACGGGAGGCAGCAGUGGGGAAUAGUGGACAAAGGGCGGAAGGCGUAUUCAGCAACGCCGCGUGCGAAAAGUCGGCCUUCGGGUUGUAAACCGCUUGCGCCUGUGUCGAAGCGUGAGGGACGUAAAUGGGUAAAGAAGCACCGGCUAACUACGU
rnacentral:rRNA from 1 species